rnacentral:rRNA from 1 species
GGACGAACGCUGGCGGCGUGCCUAAUACAUGCAAGUCGAACGGUCUUUCUAUGGAAGCUUGCUUCCACUGAGAAGAUAGUGGCGAACGGGUGAGUAACACGUGGGUAACCUGCCCAUAAGAGGGGGGAUAACAUCCGGAAACGGGUGCUAAUACCGCAUAGUUUUCUUGGUCGCAUGAUCGGGAAAGGAAAGACGGCCUUUGUGCUGUCGCUUAUGGAUGGACCCGCGGCGUAUUAGUUAGUUGGUGAGGUAACGGCUCACCAAGACGAUGAUACGUAGCCGACCUGAGAGGGUGAUCGGCCACAUUGGGACUGAGACACGGCCCAAACUCCUACGGGAGGCAGCAGUAGGGAAUCUUCCGCAAUGGACGAAAGUCUGACGGAGCAACGCCGCGUGAGUGAAGAAAGGUUUUCGGAUCGUAAAACUCUGUUGUCAGAGAAGAACAAGUUGGAGAGUAACUGCUCCAGCCUUGACGGUAUCUGACCAGAAAGCCACGGCUAACUACGUGCCAGCCGCCGC